UAUUUUAAAAUUUCAAAAAGUUUGUAGCACAUGCACAAAACCACCAAUAAAAAUAUAAAUCUCCAUCUACAACAAGAAAAAUAAAAAAUUAUAAACAUAAUGUUAAUAUAAAUUAAGUAAAACUAACAUUGGAAAACAAGAAGUUAAUGGAAAAAUAAACAGACAAAUAAUAUUAUAAAUAAAAUAAAUUUGCAAGACACAAUCCGCGCGAAGCGCAGAAAAAAAUCUCUAGUUAUUAUAAAGAAGAGCUACUCUCUUCUCCUAAACCCUCCACAUCAUUAAUUGAGUUCAUAAGGUAAUGACACGUGUCUAAUCUUUUGUUAAUGAACUUAUUGAUAAACUGGCCUUCGUACAAAUCAAUUAAUCAGGUGUGUUCAGAGGUUAUGUCUAGUGGGCUUUUAAUAUAAUAUUUAGGUAUAAUAGGAUCUGUUAAGUAGGUGCUAAGUGGAUCCUAGAAUUAUUAUCUUCAUCUUCAACGCUUUGUCUUCCGAUCCUCUGAUGCACUGCCGACAAUGUCGAAAUGCAUAUCUUCACAAUUACUUUGGAAAACAGGAGCCGUUAUGGAUCCCUUCUGCAUUCAAUAAUUGCCAUUAACGUCCCAAUUGAGUCUAUCUCCCCACUCUUUCCACAAUAUCACAUUCAUUGCAUCUCCCUUUUCCUUCAAGCAUGUGAAUCUUGAGCUAUAAAUAGGUUAGUUUGUACCCGUGAAUUUCUUCAUUUCUUUCCUCACAGUCAUAUUGACACGAAAGCCUUUCACAAAAUUCAAUGGAAAACUCCUCUCCUUCUUGCUGACUUCAAAGCCGGUCGAUGUAGCACAACCAUCAAAGUGCGGCGACCUCAUCAGUCUCUUCGAGGCUCAAUAUCUGGGAGAUUGGGACAUUUGUGGGACUCAACUGUCGAAGUGUGGCGACCUCAUCAGUCUCUCCGCUUGCUUUCUCCAUCGAAUUUAACCAUAUGUUCUUGCUAAUACUACUCACCGAAUCAUCAACAGGUGCAUCAGAGGAUGGGUCCACCAAUCGUUGUCUCACUGAUAUCGUCUUUGGUCCUCUCAGAUAUUUUUUACAACUUUCCUAAAGAUUUAGAGAGAUCUCAAAACGUCGACAGCCAUGGCGACCACCAAAGUCCAGAGGAUUAUGACCCAGCCAAUCCUACGUAACUGAGUUUUAGGGGUUUUCAAAGUGCACAAAGUUUGAGUCCAUAUUUGGCUUUUAUGAGCGGAAAGAUUUGAAGACUGAAAAAAUAAUUAAUGUAAGUCAUCUUUUGUUUUCUUGCACUACGCAUUGUUUAGCUAUGAAUACAUUGCGAACAGAGUACUUUGUAAUUCCUGGCAUAGUACAAGUGUUCAAGAAUUCAUGAUGUUCUAUUUGUGCUACUGAAUUCAUGGAGUACAAACACUACUGAGUAAUUUCAUCAACACACUUCUGAAUUUUUCGUAACUUGCAUAUCUAUUGAUCAUUUUCUUUGAUAUCAUAUGUUAUAAUAUAAUUUAUCAUCAUUGGAUCUAAUUUAAGUAGUUUAAUAAGUUGAUCACACAGAUGAAACACUAAACUGAAGUUUGAACUAUAUUUUUCUUUGUGCUUAAAAGUAUCCAUUGUUCAUGUGUAUGAAUGAUUGCAACACCGUUGGGUUCACUCUUGGGUUCAUACCUUAUGAGAAAAUUCUUUCAACCCCUUCUAUGACCAUUUCACCAAUCAUGUCUAUACUUUUAAUGUAUUUAUCUAUAAUUUUCUUAUUGAGUAAUAGAGAGUUUCUUCACAUUUUAUUUUAACUUAAGUUCAUGUUCUAUGUUCUUGAUUCACCUUUCUCCUUUACAUUAUGUAUCUGCGGUUGAUCAAAUUACAUGCUUAUGGUGACAGGGGCUAGGUCUUGAUGCAUGCAUAAGCUACAUAGAUCUUGCUUAUGAUCUUUUCCAGCUUGCCACACUAAGCUAUAUGUUAAUUUAGUGCAGACAUAUUAAUCUUUAUUUUUUUCAUUUUCCUCUGUUUUUUGUCGACAAAAUUUGAGAGCUAAUAUGUAUUUAACUACAUAGAGCUUCAAAACUAUAUUUUCGAAGUGAGAAGAGAGUUUAUUUUUAGCAACUUAUUUGCUUCUUUUGAGAUAUCUAGAUUGAUCAUUAGAAUAUAAUAACUUGCAGAAAAGGUGGCAAGAUGGAACAAGGUGGCUGAGAAGUAUACUUUCGUCCUGGACCUGGAUGAUAGAUUUGGAUAUGUAUAUAUGCCCAGCUUAGGCCACAAAAACUCCUCACAUGAAGUAAACAUACAUGAUCGUGACACAAUCGCAUAUACUGGUAUCAUUGGUCUAAUGGAUCAGUGGAAGUUAGAUUGGGAUGAUCGUGACCACGAACAUACAAUGGUCGAUUAGUGUUUUCUUUCUCUAUUUGGUUGACUACUUAAUGGCUAAGAUUAAGGAUUUCCAAAGAGCUUACUUUGUAUCUAUAGAAAACUCUGGCCACAUCACCUGUUAGAAACUCAAAGGCCAUUUACCACUACAAUGGAGACCACAUUAUUUUAAUACAUAUUUCAUUAUAAAUAUGUCAUAACUUCGGUUAUUGUGUGACCUGCAAGAUAAAAUCAUCAAGAACUUCAUUAAUAUAAAGACAAACGCAAAAUUCCUCACACGUCAAAUUUCCACUUUAAUUUUUGAAACUAAAAUAUUCACGGCCGCACACAGUCAAAUUUUAAAAGUCCAAACAAAACAACUACUAACGCUCGAUAUCAUCUCGAUUGUCCUAUCUCUAAAAAAAUUGUACACCAAUUUUCACGAUCUGCAGCAAAUAGUUAAAACAUUGACUAAUCCCAACAUAUGAUGCAAACAAAAGCACUAAAUGACAAUCAUCCGAUAAUUCAUUUCAAUAAUGUUGUGAAAAGACGCGAAUCAACUUUGAAGAAAACAAUAGAAAAAUCAAAAUGAAUUGAAGCAAAUACCCGUUUAGGAUUUCUUAUUAUUAUGUGAAUGUAUAAUCUUAAAAACUCUUAGACCCAUAUUUAUAACAGCCUUAAAACCCGAUUUCCUUUUCUCUAUAGGAAUACAUACUUAUCUAGAAAAAAUAAUUUUCUAAACCGAAAAGAUAUACUGAAUGAUGGGCUUUAACUGUGCACAUAAAUUAGCAUUUAACUGUGCAUAUAAAUUUAAGACACAUCCGAUGCAACAAAUAACUUUCACAAACUCCCUACGGCAACGUUACAUUAGCAUUUCGAGGGUAUAUAAUAACAAACACACACUAUUACAUUCCAAUCGACAUUUCUCAUCCACAAACUAACAUUGAAAAUGAAUACGAUUAAGUUACUAACCAAAUGACAAAUAUUACGCGCAUAGCACAGACCAAUCCUAGAUUAUACUAGUAUAUUUUUUAAAAGAUUAUAUUAUCUAUAUAUUAAAUAAACAUACAAAAUAUAUAAUCAAAAUUUAAACAAAAAACCUGGGGUAGCCCGGGCCAACCCUAGUAUUAUUAUAAAAGUGUUUACUCUCUCAUGGAUGCGCCAGGUCAAAAAGUCGCUCAUCCUCAACUCACUGUUUCAUUUAAAGAUAGACAGAAAAAAAUUUGGGCUUUGUGUUAAUCUUCACAAUUAAAGCCCAAAACUGAGCGGUCUUUUAGUCUUCAUCCCUUUCACGGCGUGUUUUUCUUCGAUAAACGAUACCUAAAAAAGUUUCUUCAACGAUCUCCCACACCUUCAAUGGUGUUUCUAGGGAUUUGGAUGAAGAAAUCAAGAUGAAGAAUCUCUUUGUUAAUCUCCACUCUCGUCCUUUAGUCUUCUAAUCUACUCAACAGAAGCCGUCGGAGUUACAGAUCCAGCGUCAUUAUCGUCUUCUUAAUUUCAUAUGCUGUGCUACCUAAAGCACGAUCUGAAAAUGAUUGUAAGUUAUCCCUCUUCAUGGCGGUGUUCUUCCACCUAUAAAAAGGGUAAGCCAACUGAUGAAUCCAUAUUUAUAAUAUUCUAUUUGGAACCGAUAUAGUUUAUAGGGGAAUUGUAUGUUCAUUAACACUUUCGUUCAUGCUGCUGCGCAAGAAUUUGCGUACACCUGCAUCUGUAACUUUUAGAAGCUACCACAUAUAGGUAUUUAGAACAUAUGUGAAGACGACCGAGAGACUUGCAUCAACAGCUUCGUGGUUAGACAAGUCUGGAGACCGCAAAAAGGCUUACCGGAAAAGUAUAGGGCUGUUCGUUUCAUAGGCGUCCAAAAAUUCAACCUUUAUCACAGCAAUACAAACCACCGGUGAAAUAUCGCUGACCUAUUUUUAGUCGCAGCGGCAACAAACAUCAAGGAGAAGGGACGCUAGAAUUAUGUGCAACACAAGCGUCUCGUUUUUGUGUAUCCGACAAUUCAGUAGCAUCUACCGCAACUUUUGAUUUUGCUAUUUUGGUCUCCGUCGUAGUCUAAUUUAUGGCCGCUGCCUCUAAACUCUGUGUUUAUGAAAAGAACAACCUUUAUGUCUAUAUAUUCUGCGCUUGACUCUUUGAGCAUUUACUUCAUUCAUAUUCAAAGGAACUAGAGAAAAUCAGGCUUGCGAAGCAGACAUGACUAGAAAAAAGGUAAUACAAGAAGGAUAGAUGAAACUUUUGUUGUUGUCACUUUGAUUUAAGUGGUUUCUGGUUCAUGACAAACUUCAAGUUGUGAUUUGGUUUUGUUAAUAAGAGACUUUGCUGUAUGAACCAAUGAUUGAAGCGAUGUAAGAAGAAUAGUUUGGUGAUGCAAUAUAGCAUAAACCAAUAUCAGGAUAUCUUCAACAGCUUUCUUGCUGAGUUUUAUGCGCUCUCUGAUACUAUAAGCCCUUAUUUCACGAGAAAAGCAAAAAAUAUUAGACAGUUUCUCAAAGUGAAUGUUGUAUGCUAAUGUUGGACGUGAACUGCCGUGAUUUACUUCACGAGAUAUGUAACAUAUUUUACCA